ACGAACGCUGGCGGCGUGCUUAACACAUGCAAGUCGAACGGAAAGGCCCCUUUGGGGGUACUCGAGUGGCGAACGGGUGAGUAACACGUGAGUAACCUGCCCUUGACUUCGGGAUAACUUCAGGAAACUGGGGCUAAUACCGGAUAGGAAUCCUUGCUGCAUGGUGGGGGUUGGAAAGCUUCGGCGGUUUUGGAUGGACUCGCGGCUUAUCAGCUUGUUGGUGGGGUAGUGGCUUACCAAGGCUUUGACGGGUAGCCGGCCUGAGAGGGCGACCGGCCACAUUGGGACUGAGAUACGGCCCAGACUCCUACGGGGGGCAGCAGUGGGGAAUAUUGCACAAUGGGCGGAAGCCUGAUGCAGCAACGCCGCGGGCGGGAGGACGGCCUUCGGGUUGUAAACCGCUUUCAGCAGGGGCGAAGCUUGUGGUGACGGUACCUGCAGAAGAAGCACCGGCUAACUACGUG
rnacentral:rRNA from 1 species